UUUACGCUUAGUGUUCUCUCUUAUCAAUAUUUGAUUUUGAUGAUUGUUGGUUACUCAAAUUCUAAUUUAUUGUUCUGUCAUUCUAAAAUCUCAUGAACCUGCAACUUGCAGCCUGUCCGUGAUCUCUUCAAAAAGAAUGUUGAUGUCAAAAAACUAUUGGAAAAAGUGAAGGCGUACAGAGUUACAAGGAGCGUAGAUUGCAACAUUUUCAUGAUGGGAUACAUAUAUUCCAUCAUCAAUGGCACACAUUCAUUCAUUCA